rnacentral:lncRNA from 1 species
CUUGUUAUGCUGCCAUAACAACAGGAUGAGUGGCCGAGGAUAGAGAAGGGUGCGAAAAUAUACAAUAGCUUGAAGUCCAUCACUUCAUCCUUGAAGUGAUGCUUGGCCCUGCUACUUACAGUCCACUGGCCAGAACUAAUCACAUGAGCCCCAAGAGGAAGAUCAGAGAACGAAGGGAGCUCGAGCAACAAUUGACCCCAAGUCUGUGUGGCGCAGAGUAACUACAAUUCAAGAAGAACAUCUUGGUCUUACUGGCUUGGGGUAUCAGAGGACAACAUUCAGAGCUGCCAAAGUGUCUGGAAAGUGAGGGAAGGAACUUAUCCCAUAAAUACAGGUGCCACAGCAAAGGGAGCCCCCAAAAUCUGCAUUUAAAUUCGUGGUUAACCCUUGAACUGCACACGUAUUGUGGAGACUCCAAGGAACCUAGCAGAAAGCAAAAACUGAAAGGUUAUCAGAAGUGAAAGGAGAUAUCCCCAACUUCCGCUCACUAUAGACUAGAAAGUUUGGAGUUUCA